GGGCUCAUGGUCUAGUGGUUAUGACGUCGCCUUGACAUGGCGGAGGUCCCCGGUUCAAAUCCGGGUGAGCCCA
rnacentral:tRNA from 1 species